rnacentral:lncRNA from 1 species
GGAAACUAAAAUGAAUAUUGGACAUCCACUAGAUUGAAAUCGUAAUUGCUUAGUUGAGGUCAGUGAUGUCAAGAUAUUGCCAAAAAUUCACACAACCAGUUACUGACCAAAACAAAAACCAAAAAAAAACUAAAAAAGCAAAAAAAGGUGCAAAUUAAGCAAAUAAUUUAAACAGAUAAAACAUUUUCAUUUUGCAAUCGGUUACCUUAUAGAAACACAAAACAUAUUCUCACAAUUCUUGCGAUAGUAAGGUUUAUGAAUGUAAUGAUAUAAUCUAUAUAUUUUAAAAGUGUCAGUAGCAUUUUUUAAGGGGGAAACAGGUUCACCUAGUGCUUAUUUCUUCCAAGGUAUUAAAAUCAACAUUCAUUAUAUUUUCUAGUCUUCAGUUGGAAACCUGAUCCUCAAAGAAAGAACGUGGCUGCUAUAGGUCCACGUUCCCAAACAGGCAAUGACACAGCCAGAAAUAAAUCUCUCAACUUGCAAGACAAGUUCGCUCAAGGAGAUGACAGUAUUUAUAUGAUGUGACCGAAUUUACGUUCAAUUUAUCUCUAGCUCACUUUCAGUGUCAGUUUUGAUCCAGGUGUUGGAUUGUCUAUGGAGUAAAAUGCUUGAUUCUCCCAGCCCCCUCUAACCAGGGGGCUGACAUCUUGGAAUAAAAGGUAAAGGAAUUCCCUAAUCCAGGAAUAAAAAUUUAGGGUCCCUAAGAAUAUCAUGGAAAGGUUUUUUUGCAUGCUAAUUUUGAAGUUAUACCCUUGUUCUGACUUCGCAGGUUUGGAAGUACAGAAGUCCACUUUGUGAAGCAUCCUUGUGGUCCGUAGAGAAAAUGAACAUACUUCCUGAUUUGCUUCUAUUGUCCUGGCAUCCCUCUGGUUUAAUGUGUGUCCCAGAAUUGUUGUUGUUGUUGUUAUUAACAAAACGUUCUUUAAAAUAGUUGUAUUAAGCCAAGCUGGGUUUGAUAGAUUACUUUGUACUUCUGUAUUCUACCAUGGCCUUUGCCAGUAGCGUGUGAGAGAUGUGUAAUAAGCAGAGUUCAACAUUUAACAUGUGGUUAAAUCUGAACCAUCGGUGAUAACGCCUCUCACUUUUUUGAAACCCGCCUUGACACAGAUAAGUCCUCCGCUUUAAGGAUAGCGUAGCUGUCAGUAUGGUUGCAUACAGGCAUCUUGGAACAGCUAACUUCUGGUCCUCAGUGAAGUGGGAGAAAUAUGUCCGGCUGUCCCUGGUGGUCCUACUGGUGAAUGAGUCAUUGUGCCUUAGUCCAGAGUGAGGCCCUCAAAGUGGUCCCUGGUGGCCUAGCGGUUAGGGAUCCUGCCUUGUCACUGCUGUGGCUGGAGUUCAAUCCUUAGCCUGGGAACUUGGGCUUGCCGCAGGCGGCCAAAGGGAAAGGCAAGAUCCCUAUCAAACACUUUGGACUUCCCUUUGUGGUAACUGCAGUUAUCAGUGUAGUGGUUCAGGUCACUGCAGUGGCUCUGGUUCAAUCCCUAGUCCAGAGUGCCUCAAAAAGUAAAAUAAAAAAAAAACAAAAAAAAAAACAAUCGGCCUGGGAGAUGAGGAAGCUGCUCGUUGGCCAGCAGGUGGGGUCGUUUUGAAAUUUUGUGAAAUAAAUGUGGGGAGUAGAAGAAUAAAUAAAUGUGGGGAGUAGAAGAAUGCCCCAGUAGAGCUGAUACAGAGAGGUGUGAGCAAUCCCGCUGAAAUGGUUUUGUCUCAUAUUAGCCAGUGUAAAUCUACAGUGAUUUAUAGCUAUCCCCCACUUUUCAAAAGUUGGGUUUACACCAAUUCUGGUACCUUUUUUGGCUAACUGGAACAACUCUGAAGGAGACUUGCACUUUCACACAAAAAGGCAGAAGGUGAAAAUAGCAUUUCGUGUUUGUUUUGCAGGAGCUCUUAUCGAGGCAGCCCAUACCCGGAGCAGUGAGAGUGGCACCACCAGACUCGUUCCCCUGGACCACACGUGGCAUCUCAGCAUCUGUCCGCCAUAGUUGUGAGCACCUGUGCUUUACCUGGAUUCAUUCUGUGCAUUGCUUAGCCAGAUGGGUCCCAAGGGCACUGGACAUUGGAUUAAAGACCAGAGAAUGAAACAUUUUAAAACUGUCUCAUCUGAUUCCAAGCAAAACAUAAUCCUACGUAUUGAGGUUGUAGGUUUAGCUCGUUGAAUUUCAAGGAGCCGUUGAAUGACCAACAGGACCAAAUGCCCAAGAGUGAAGAAAGGUUUCCUGGGCCGUGGGACUUGCAGUACCAAAACUGUGACAGUCUCAGACAAGCUGAGAUCCUGGUCUCCAGACAUCUUGUACAUGAAUUCAGAGCCCAGCGUGUUAAGGUGAAGUCAGGUUGGCAUGUGAAGAAAAGAAAUCAUGCAUACGGGGCCCCUGAGCCAAGAUUUCAGAAAAAGUACUCUUCAGGAGUUCCCGUCGUGGCGCAGUGGUUAAUGAAUGUGACUAAGAACCAUGAGGUUGCGGGUUCGAUCCCUGGCCUCACUCAGUGGGUUAAGAAUCCUGUGUUGCAGUGAGCCGUGAUGUAGGUCAUAGACACGGCUCGGAUCUGGAGUUGCUGAGGCUGUGGUGUAGGCUGGCAGCCGUAGCUCCAAUUAGACCCCUAGCCUGGGAACCUCCAUGUGCACCAGGUGCGGCCCUAAAAAGACAAAAGACAAAAUAAAACAAAGGACUCUUCACUGUGUACUGGAUACAAAAUAGAGGGCAGCUUUUAUGGCCCCCUUAUAUUCCAGUCCUCACUUCUCAAACCAGAAAAGCCUGAGAUAAAUGUCGUAUGAGGGUCCCUUCCUCCUCCUUUCUCCCAAGGGGAGCCCUGACUUGGGUUCUUCACAUCCUCAACCUGAAAACCACUCCCGCCUGCAAGAGCUGAUGCAGUGUUCGAACAGCCUCCAGAGAGUGCCUGAUUUUAUAGGAAUGGAGUUCCCCAAAUAUCCACCCAAAAAGGUGAGCACUGAUGCUGAAUGCCUAGCCCCACGCUAGGCACAAGUAAGUUUCAAGGAAUUUAUGUGGAAACUGUGAACAAUGGAUCACAGGGCCUCCAAAAGGUGGAAACUCAUCUGAGUGUACUCGCCCAGCUAUGUGAUGAGAGACAGUCCUCAGGAGGGAAGGGGAGAGAAAAAGUGGGAAAAGAACCUUUGCCUUUUUGCCCCGUCCAGGAGCGGAGAGGUGAGUUGAAGUACAAAUGAACCACAGAUGAGCUAAGGACCACUGUGUAUUCCUGUCUCCUUUGCCGCUUGGAAAUUAAAGGAGGAAGAACUGUAGGCACCACGCCAUCCUCUUAGCUGGUAUCACCUAGCCAGAUGCCUGGGAGAUAAAAGGUAUAAAAUUACCCCCUUAUAUUUUCCCUCCAAGGAGAUUUCGCUUCUGGGAUCCUAGCACCAGAAAAUAGAAACCCUUGGCUACUUAACAAACAGGUAACCAACACUUUUUAGAUUUGCGUGUGCUUCUUGAAUUACCAAGAGAAAUGUAUGAUUUCACACAAAGUCAAAGAUGACAGAUGAUGUGUUCAGGACGUAUACAGGUGAUCUGGUGUCCGCAGCAUCUGAAGAGUGCUUUCCUUGCCUUCUCAAUUCCCCUGCUGCCUGGUAACCAGGAGGCAGCGCAGUGCAGCGCAGGGCCACGGGUAUCAAACUGAGGAUCACCUCCAGGGCUUCCACCUACCACCUACCAGCCGUGGGACAUCGGGCAAAUUCCUCGACUUGACGGGGCUCUUAUGAGGAUUAAGUGAGAUAAUCUGUGUAAAGCUUUUAGUACCGGGCCACAUGGUAAGUACUCAGAAGGGACUGUUGGUACUUACAGUUCUGGAGAGGCUAGGUCAUCUAAUCACCUGUGUUUUCUGCUGGGUGAACCAAGGGGAUUUUCCACCUCCUGGUUAGUUCAUAAGGUAUGUUAAUCACAGGAAAGUUUAUACGAUGAUGAGUUGGUGGUUGCCUAAUUUGAUGAGUCAGAUUGUUUUCUUUUUUUCACUUCUGUGUUGAAAAUAGAAAUUUAGGUCAACUUUUUGCUGGAGGCAGAAAAGUUUUUUUAGGAGUUCUCCUGUGGGGCAGCGGGUUCAGGAUUCGGCAUUGUCACCGCAGCGGCUUUGGGACACUGCUGUGGCUGGUGUUCCAUCCCUGGCCUGGGAACUUCCACAGGCCGAGGGUGCGGCCAAAAACAAAACAUUCUUUUUAUUGGGUUACCUGUCUGAAAUGAGAAAGAAACCCCUUUGAAUGCCUGGCUAUCGACUCAGCCCCACAGCUGAUAUGAAUAGAUUUCCUUUGGGAACCUCAAGUAAGAGUCUUAGGAGAGAGUCUAUGUAUGGCUCUUAAGCUGGGAAACAUCGAUUAAAAUCUAGCUUAGAUUUAGUUUCUAAGGCUACCGGAAUUGAGACAUUUAAAGACUCAGAAUACCAGGCUUCUUUGGGUGAAUUUAACAGUGUGUGCUGUGAACAGCUGCACGAGAAUCAAAGGUCAUUACUGCCAUUGCCCAGGGCUGCAGUGUCAGCAAAGGCAACCCAGCAGGAGGAUGCAUGUGGUGGGAAUUUCGGGGAUGCCUAGGACCACCCAAGGUGGUCAUCCCACUAAGAAGAGCUUACCUAACGCAUUGCUCUAAUAGGCUCUUAGGUUGCUAAUAAUCAUAUGGCCUUAAUCAGCAGUAAAUGAGAACCUACUUAAUCAACCCACAGUCUUAAGGUAGUGUGAAGUAACAAGAAAAGUGAACUGCUACUAAGUGGCAUUACUCUGACAAGACUGGCAUAUUUUCAUUUUCCCAGUGUUCUCUUCUGUGCAUGAAACUGGGUUCUGGGCUUAAUAACCCUCAGCCAUAAAGUACUGUAACAUGUUAGUUCAUGCUGGGUGGCAACAGGUUUGUUUUUCAUGAUUAUGUAAUCUGAAUUCUUCUUCCAAGAAAGGAUUUGGAAAUGAGCUAUUAAAUUGGAUUGCCAGCAGACAUUUGGUCUAAAUGCACAUCUGCAUUAGCUGCAUGAAACUCCGGCCCUUUCUCUCUCAUGGCCCCCUACCCCUCUACAAAUCUGAAAACUGCAACUCUAGUGUGGCCCAUGAGAAAAACAGUCCAGCAGCUGGCCGAGGUUUACAUAAAGCAGUGAAAUGCCUACUAAGGAUUUUUAGGUGAGGGUAUUUGAUCUUCCUUGGUCUUAAAUAGCAACCUAAUGAGCCAGGCGAUCUGGGCACUCCGUACACUUGUACCCAGAUUAGAUUGGCUUUAAAAACUAAUAUAGUGUUAAAAUAUUGUGCAAAGGGUGCCUACUGGAGUAGGUUCAAAGACUUCAAGUGCUAGGUUGGUAUUUAUUGACUAAAAUGCUACUUAGAAAAGAGUUCACGUUGUUCUUAAUUUCCAAGACAAAGCUGAAAACCACAGCAAAUAACUGCUUGGGGGUUUGCAUUCCAUAGUCCUGGACUCAGAGGCAAGCUUCCUGUUCCCUCUUGGCUGGCAGACCCGACCCGAAGGCCAGGCGGUGAAUGGUUUGGUUCUUAGAGUUGCAGAAUCUGCACCGGGUGCCAGACCAGGUGUUUUUUGUUUUUUUAAGUUCAUCGUAAAGAUUUGGAUCUCACGGAAAGAGAACAGGAGAGCAGACUGAGUUAGGUAUUUGGGCAAAGACCAUCUCUUUACAAAGAUCCACACACCUGAGUAGCUCCCAAAGAGGAGGGUUUCAAAAUAACUGAGACCCACACUUGGAAAACGCGAAUCAUUCCCCGGGAUCUUCUUGGUAAGAUUUCAGGAAUUAAAAGGAAGAAAAGAAAAAGAAAAAGAACCAUUCAAGAUUCUCAGGCCAACAGGAUUUUUAUUUUUUUCCUUCUAGGGGAAAUGCCAGAUUUUUUUCAAGUAGUAUAAUUCCGUGUUUUUGUAUGCAACUUGUAUGCACAGUCCUAUGUUUAUAAGGAGCUGAAAGUCAAAUGCUGAGAUUUCCUCUGCUACCUUUACAGCUGGUGCUCUUACAUGGGCCCAGGUCAGAACCUACAGGAAACUCUGGCUGUGCGUGUGCAUGUUUGUAACAAAGAAAGGGAGAGAGAAAGAUACAGAUAAAGACAGGGAAUUCCAGAAUUGUCCUUGCAAGGAGUAGUUAUGAGGCUGAAUGUUCUAGUGGAAAAUAAAUGAAGAGAAUCCUAGAACACUAGUUAUUCAAAUAGCAUGCCCACAUGAAUUGCUUAGGAAAAACCAUUAACCUCUUCUUCUCUGCCCCAUUCUUUCAGCAAUUUUAAAGGUCUUAUGGCCAAAGGACAAGAUCCGGAAGGGUUGGUGGUGGGGCCGGGAAGAGUUGAAGUUUAACUCAGCUGAUCUGGGGGCGAAUUUCCUUGGCAGUGCAAAGGCUCUCAAUGAAGGAUCUCUGCCAGACAGAAGCAGCGCAGGCCACGCCCGGGCCACAGCGAGGCCCGUCCCUGACCCUCCUUCAGAGAAGAGGCUUGUGUCCUUUUCUGAGGCAGCCCCUCCCUUGGGUAGACAAACAAGCCUCCUCAGUACGCAUCCUCCCCCACCCCCACCAGUGUGCUCAUUCCAACCUUUGUGCCCCCUUCCAACCUCUCCUUAUAAUUCUCUCUCCCCACCUCUUUAACCCAACCUCUCACCCCCUUCCAGGUCCAACACCAGAUCCUCUAAGCAUCCUUGCAAAUAAAGAACGUUCCCCUGGGAUGCUCUCCAUCCUCUCCGCCCUCAUCAGGCUGCUAAUAUUUUCACUGUUUCUUAUAGACGCUGUAGAGACAAAAGCCCUUCUCCUUUCUUUUCUGGCUGUCCAAUUCUUUCUUUUCUUCAAAAAAUAAAUAACCUUAUGAUC